UACGGAGGGUGCAAGCGUUAUCCGGAUUCACUGGGUUUAAAGGGUGCGUAGGCGGGCAGGUAAGUCAGUGGUGAAAUCUUCGAGCUUAACUCGGAAACUGCCGUUGAUACUAUCUGUCUUGAAUACUCGGGAGGUGAGCGGAAUAUGUCAUGUAGCGGUGAAAUGCUUAGAUAUGACAUAGAACACCAAUUGCGAAGGCAGCUCACUACAGAGUCAUUGACGUGAGGCACGAAAGCGUGGGGAUCAAACAGG
rnacentral:rRNA from 1 species